CAAUCACGUUUAUCCAGAGCCCCUUCCAGGAGGCAUGGUUGGGGAAUUUGAUUAUGUAAACGUUGAAUGAAACAACCAGGUAGAUCAGUUGUUAUUAAGGAAUAUACCAAAUAUUCCCCCACACUUUGAAAACGUUCCCGACCUGGGAAAGUUUUGGGGAAUUCAAAACAGUUGAUUCAUACCAUCACCCAGAUAGGAAAGUGCUGCAUAAUGCUAAUUUGUUCAGACUAUAACCUCCAGCAUGUUUACCUUAAAAUGUUUUGUUUCCUGUCAUCAGUUAGUCCAUUUAACAGAUCAGUUGGUCUAUUAACAGGAUUCUCAUAAAAAAGUCUUCACAAUGAGUGUAUUGUUCAACAUGUAAUGGUAUAUAGGUGCGCAGGACAAUACAAUGCGGCCACAGAAACUGAAAGCAACACUGACUGUGGUGUCUCCAAUCAGAAAAUGGGAAAUUUCCUGCUCCAGCACCACUCUAUAUAGUUUGGUAAACGGUCAAUUGUAUGGAUAUUGGUGGUUGGUUGACAAACUGUGACUUACAGUAUUCCUCAUUUGGACUACUGUACAUGUACUUGCUACAUCCUCUCAAGAUAUUCCAUCAUCAUAUCCACCUACUUGGAUUCUGACUAAGGACCAGUUGAGUUCAGCAGUGGUCCCUUUUGUGGCAAUCAGUGUGUCAGGCAAUCAACCCAGAAGAAAACCAUGAAGAAAUUAAACUUCAUGAGCAGAAAGAGUAGGCCAUUGGGGAUAGAGGACGGGAGUCCUCUGAUUAAGAACAGUACGCUGCCUACAGAUGAAGAGGAACAAACCGGGAAUGUGGGGUAUGGGAAUCCCUACUUGGAGAAUGGCUUUAACAAUCAUCAGGAGUUGGGCAAUCAGGGGGGUCAGGAGAAGGGACAGUCAUUGCUCAGUGUACUUGCAGAAGCUUUGAGGGUCAGCCAUGUUGGCCCUCAAGAGAGACUUAAAGCUAAUUUGGAGGGGCCACCAGAAGAGAUUAUGUGCCAUGAAGCUCAGAAGAAGGACGAUACACACCCAGAAGUCUUGCUCCAAAGGUACUUUCAUCUUAUUGAAGCGUCUGUGGACAAACACUUCCCCAAACUGCCAGCAGGGAACACUGUGAAUCAGCUGGAGGGCUACCUGAUAAAAGUGCAAAUAACUGUGCAAGGGGAGCUUCUGAGGUUGGCACCCCUGCUCAAAGAGGCUCAGUUGCGGAAGCAUUUGAUUGCUUGCUAUCAUCAGCGUAUGUUUGACUGUCUACAGCAGAUCCUUCAGCAUGUCAACACAAAAAAAGAGGCCUUCACAGUUCUUGACUGGGUACUACGCACAUACUUGAGUGAGGAGCUGCUAGGACACCCCAACAUCUGGGAUGAGGCUCUACAUGCAGUUGACCUUCUCCUUCUGACAGACUGGAUCCCACAAGCUGAGAAGAAACUCUUGGCCACUGUGCAGGUGAAUCACCUAAAGGAGGACAUCUCCACAUCACUGAGGAGGAUCCUUCAGAACGAGGAGUCAGGUAGAGAGGUGUGUGUCUCUGGAGAUGAGGCCUUUAUCAAACUGCAUCUGGAUGUCAUCCAGUGCAUCAAUGCUGUUCUCCAGAAAGCAAAGAUGAUGAGCCAAACUCUGAUGCGCAAAGUCCAAAUAGUCUGUUGGCAAGAGCUACAGGACUUUGUGGAAAGGUAUGUCAAUGUUGAAAAGAAGCACCUUCAGAAACAAGCAGGAAUGGGAACGUCAGGUACAAUGCACUUCUUUAAGACGUUCAACACCUGCAUUGAACUCAAGUAAGUUUUAUAUGUUUAUAUUUAUGCUAUGAAAUCAAAUCUCAUGUAUUGUUGUUGAAUCAUGAUAAUCAUUAUGAUUAUGUAUCUGUUGCAGGUUGUAUAUUUCAAGGAUUGCCAAAGAUGACACAAGCUUAGACUGUGUUAAAACCAUAUCAACACUUAAGGGGUUGGAAGCUCUUUCUUGGAAAAACCAAUUCAACUUGCACAGGUUAACCCCCCCUAUAGAAAUACUAUAGCAAGACAAGCCUAUCUGUUCAAAAUCCACAAGUUCCCACUUCCAAUAUGAA
ensembl:lncRNA